AGCUCUGAGGUGUUUUACAUAUUAGAUUGCAAAUCUAAAAGAAGCAGGCUAACCCCUGCCGGGGCUU
rnacentral:tRNA from 1 species